GGUAGGUGAGGAUAGACAAGGGUGACGACAGACUGGGUGUCUCAGCUGAGGUAGGUGAGGAUAGACCGAGGGUAAGGACAGACUGGGUGUCUCAGCUGAGGUAGGUGAGGACAGACUGGGUGAGGAUAGACUGGGUGUCUCAGCUGAGGUAGGUGAGGACAGACUGGGUGUCUCAGCUGAUGUAGGUGAGGACACCGACUGGAUGGGCAGCCUGCAGGACGGACACAGCUU